AUUGUACUCCCUCCGUUUCAAAUUACUCGUCGCACAAAUGAAUGUAUCUAGAACUAAAAUACAUCUAGAUACAUCCAUACAUACGACAAGUAAUUCGAAACGGAGGAAGUAGUAU
rnacentral:pre_miRNA from 1 species